rnacentral:rRNA from 1 species
UACGGAGGGUGCGAGCGUUGUCCGGAAUCACUGGGCGUAAAGGGCGCGUAGGCGGCCUGGCAAGUCGAUGGUGAAAGCCCGAGGCUCAACUUCGGGUCGGCCACUGAUACUGCUGGGCUUGAGUCGACUAGAGGCAGAUGGAAUUCCGGGUGUAGCGGUGGAAUGCGUAGAGAUCCGGAAGAACACCGGUGGCGAAGGCGGUCUGCUGGGGUCGAUACUGACGCUGAGGAGCGAAAGCGUGGGGAGCAAACAGG